GCUACGGGAGGCAGCAGUGAGGAAUAUUGGUCAAUGGACGAGAGUCUGAACCAGCCAAGUAGCGUGAAGGAUGACUGCCCUAUGGGUUGUAAACUUCUUUUAUAAAGGAAUAAAACGAGGCACGUGUGCCUUUUUGCAUGUACUUUAUGAAUACGGAUCGGCUAACUCCGUGCCAGCAGCCGCGGUAAUACGGAGGAUCCGAGCGUUAUCCGGAUUUAUUGGGUUUAAAGGGAGCGUAGAUGGGUUGUUACGUCAGUUGUGAAAGUUUGCGGCUCAACCGUAAAAUUGCAAUUGAUACUGGCAGUCUUGAGUACAGUUGAGGUAGGCGGAAUUCGUGGUGUAGCGGUGAAAUGCUUAGAUAUCACGAAGAACCCCGAUUGUGAAGGCAGCUUACUAAACUGUGACUGACAUUGAUGCUCGAAAGUGUGGGUAUCAAACAGGAUUAGAUACCCGAGUAGUC
rnacentral:rRNA from 1 species